rnacentral:rRNA from 1 species
AUGGAUGUUAAGACGGCUUUUCUAAAUGGAGAGCUAAAGGAGGAAAUCUACAUACAACAGCCUGAUGGCUUUGUGAUAGAUGGUCAGGAAAGAAAGCUGUAUAGGUUGAUAAAAUCUUUAUAUGGCCUAAAACAAGCACCUAAGCAAUGGCAUGAUAAGUUUAAUACAACUCUGACAUCUGUUGGUUUCGUUGUUAAUGAGGGUGACAAAUGUGUAUACUAUCGCCAUGGUGGGGGAGAAGGAGUUAUACUGUGCUUGUAUGUUGAUGACAUACUGAUAUUCGGAACAAACCUCAAAGUCAUUGAGGAGGUCAAAUCGUUUCUAUCUCCGAACUUUGAGAUGAAAGACCUUGUUGUGGCUGAUGUUAUCUUGGACAUCAAGCUACUGAGAGAUAAUGAGGGUGGAAUUACACUUCUGCAAUCCCACUAUGUUGAGAAGGUGUUGAGUCGUUUUGGAUAUUCGGACUGCACGCCAUCUCAAACACCAUAUGAUCCUAGCGUAUUGAUUCGAAAGUCCAAAGGCAUGGCUAAAGAUCAAUUGAGAUACUCUCAAAUCAUUGGUUCACUGAUGUACCUAGCGAGCGCAACGAGGCCUGACAUCGCGUUUGCUGUGAGCAAACUGAGCCGGUUUGUUUCCAAACCGGGUGAUGUACAUUGGCAUGCUGUUGACAGAGUUAUGCGCUAUCUGAAAGGUACUAUGAACUAUGGACUUCACUAUACCGGAUACCCAUCGGUACUUGAAGGGUAUAGUGAUGCGAAUUGGAUCUCUGAUGCUGAUGAGAUGAAGGCCACAACUGGGUAUAUGUUUACUCUUGGAGGUGGCGCUGUUUCCUGGAAGUCUUGCAAGCAAACGAUCUUAACGAGAUCGACAAUGGAAGCAGAAUUAACAGCAUUAGACACAUCUGGUGUUGAAGCGAGAUGGCUUCGAGAACUUUUCAUGGACUUGCCAUUGGUUGAUAAACCGGUUCCUGCUAUCCUUAUGAACUGUGACAAUCAGACUGUCAUCACCAAGGUGAAGAGUUCAAAGGACAACAUGAAGUCCACCAAACACAUAAGAAUGAGAUUAAAAGCUGUCAGAAAAUUUAAGAAACUCCGGAGUGAUAGCGUUGGACUAUGUCCAUACGGCUAA